rnacentral:rRNA from 1 species
UACGAAGGGUGCAAGCGUUACUCGGAAUUACUGGGCGUAAAGCGUGCGUAGGUGGUUCGUUAAGUCUGAUGUGAAAGCCCUGGGCUCAACCUGGGAAUGGCAUUGGAUACUGGCGACCUAGAGUGCGGUAGAGGGGUGUGGAAUUCCCGGUGUAGCAGUGAAAUGCGUAGAUAUCGGGAGGAACAUCUGUGGCGAAGGCGACACCCUGGACCAGCACUGACACUGAGGCACGAAAGCGUGGGGAGCAAACCGG